UUUCCGUAGGUGAACCUGCGGAAGGAUCAUUACAGUGUUCCCUGCCCUUCGGGGUAGGAUCGCCACCCUUGGUUAUUUAUGAGUGUUGCUUUGGCGGGCCUCGCGGCCUGGCCGCGCCCCGGCUUCGGCGGGGGAGCGCCCGCCAGAGGAUUCUACAAACCUGAUUAUUAGUGUCGUCUGAGUACUAUAUAAUAGUUAAAACUUUCAACAACGGAUCUCUUGGUUCUG
rnacentral:misc_RNA from 1 species